GACAGAGGCCUCAAGCGUUAGGCGGAAUCACUGGGCUUAAAGCGUGUGUAGGCGGAUGCCUAAGUACCUUGUGAAAUCCCACGGCUCAACCGUGGAACUGCUGGGUAUACUGGGCGUCUUGGGCCAUUCAGGGGCGACUGGAACAAGCGGUGGAGCGGUGAAAUGCGUAGAUAUCAGGAAGAACACCCGUGGCGAAGGCGGCUCUCUGGAACGCAACUGACGCUGAGACGCGAAAGCGUGGGGAGCAAACAGG
rnacentral:rRNA from 1 species